ACUGGUUCUGCGCGUGCUGCAGGUGGUAGGAAUCUGAGCGCUCUACCAGCACUUUGAAAAGCUGAUGUAACUAUACUUUCCUGUGGAUAUAUUGUAUGACAUUCAAAAGGACCAAUCGCACGGACAACCGGUUAAGAAGAUUAUGUUUCUGUGCUAUGAGGAAGGCUUCGGAAUGGUCAUCCUCACUUACAACACGAUCAAGACAGACAGAGAUGGAAUCAUCCCCUCUUUCAGAUUCUUUCAUUCAGGUGAUCCCUCUAUUUAUGAGGUCAUUUCCUGUCUACCGUGCCUCUCCCUGACCAUUGACCCUAGUUCCAUUAGAGAGGCACUAACACAGAGAGCAGCCUUUAGAGAACAACAGUUUGGCCUCCCUCCUCCACCUAUGUCAUCUCUCACUUAAAUAUUCCUCUCUCCUUUCCGUUUCUCACUCUCUACCUGUUUCUUUCACUGAGAUACUAAUUUUCCACCAUCAUUUGCAAAUAAAUUCAUUAAAAAUCCUACAAUGGGAUUUUCUGGAUUUUCUUUCUCAUUUUGUCUGUCAUAGUUGAUGUGUACCUGAGAUGAAAAUUACAGGCCUCUCUCAUCUUUUUAAGUGUGAGAACUUGCAAAAUUGGUGGCUGACUAAAUACUUUUUUGCCCCACUGUA
ensembl:lncRNA